UUGAGGGGGGCUGCUCCUAGUACGAGAGGACCGGAGUGGACGCAUCACUGGUGUUCGGGUUGUCAUGCCAAUGGCACUGCCCGGUAGCUAAAUGCGGAAGAGAUAAGUGCUGAAAGCAUCUAAGCACGAAACUUGCCCCGAGAUGAGUUCUCCCUGAGACUAUAAGUCUCCUGAAGGAACGUUAAAGACGAUGACGUUGAUAGGCCGGGUGUGUAAGCGCAGCGAUGCGUUGAGCUAACCGGUACUAAUGAACCGUGAGGCUUAACCUUAC
rnacentral:rRNA from 1 species